AGUUUGGUUGAGUUGAGGCUGAGGUGCCAUUUUGAAAUUAUAUCACGCACAUCGCGUGAGAGUUUUUAGAUUUUUAAUUAUUUAUCGUAUUAAACACCAAUUAUAACAGCCAAAAAAGUGAUAAUAAUAGACUUUAUUAUAACGUGGUGCCGUACAAGAUGAACUACGACCAUAUUGCAGAACAAUAACGAGAAAUAACUUGCCAGGAAUCAACCAGGUUGGUUUGGUUUUCAGUUGAAUAUGCGGCGAUAAGUUUCGAAUCAUGAAAAUGAUGCCGGAAGACCUUAAUAGCAAGUGUGCGGCCUCUUUACUGUUUAUUGGUUGCCCUGUUCCGGUCCAGAACGGAGGUACUCGUUCUACUGCCCUGCCAAAAGAAAACGAAUAUGCCACAAAGUAAAGUUGUUAUAGCAUCAAGACACGAUGAAUUGGAGAACACGAAUAACUGAUACUGAAGUAUUAUAAGUAUUUUCAACGGUGCACCAUGGAAAUUCGUCUAGAACUGUCUUUCGAGUUUCAAGCAAGAUGGCACAAUCCUGUCGUCAUACCAGUUCACCGGAUCAGAGGUUCAUGUUCACGAUGACUCGCCACCCCUGGCCGAUAUUGCCAUUCUAGUUAACAGCUGCGUAUGGACAACAUGAACAAUCAACAAUCAAUGUCAGCGAGCGAACAAUACCACUCGUCUGGGAAUUCGCCUGAGAAGCAUUAAAUGUGGAGCUCUGAAGUGGGACGAUAUGAUGUAGCUGUGCAUGGUGGUCUAAACACAAUGCUGCGUUUUCACCGACUUCAUCUUCAUCGCAUAUGGAUCCGACCAGGAUCCGAUCAUCUGCUUAAGAAUACUUUGCUGCUUUAGUUGUAUGGAAGUAACCAAAUUUGUAUGUGCCUACAAUAGACUAAAAAAAAUGUUCAAGCUCUGGUAGAUUGUAUGAGUAAAAUUAAACUUAUGCGUAAAUUUAAAUAACAUUUAAAUAAAGACAUGACUAACAACAGAAAA